CUCGAAAUCUUGGCCUUUUGGCUAAAACAAAGUUUAAUAUUUGUUAUUAUCAUAUUAACAUCUGAUAUGUGGACCAUAUGUUCACUUUAAUAGUAAAUUUAUUUCUAGGUUAGUAAUAUUU
rnacentral:snRNA from 1 species